rnacentral:rRNA from 1 species
GAGUGGACUCCUACGGGAGGCAGCAGUGGGGAAUAUUGGACAAUGGGGGCAACCCUGAUCCAGCAAUUCUGUGUGCACGAAGAAGGUUUUCGGAUCGUAAAGUGCUUUCAGCAGGGAGGAAGGAAGUGACUGUACCUGCAGAAGAAGCGACGGCUAAAUACGUGCCAGCAGCCGCGGUAAUACGUAUGUCGCGAGCGUUAUCCGGAAUUAUUGGGCAUAAAGGGCAUCUAGGCGGCCGGGUAAGUCCGGGGUGAAAACUGCUGGCUCAACCAGCAGCCUGCCUUGGAAACUACCCGGCUGGAGUGCUGGAGAGGUGGACGGAACUGCACGAGUAGAGGUGAAAUUCGUAGAUAUGUGCAGGAAUGCCGAUGAUGAAGAUAGUUCACUGGACGGCAACUGACGCUGAAGUGCGAAAGCUAGGGGAGCGAACAGGAUUAGAUACCCUUGUAGUCCU